GUGAAUCAUCGAAUUUUUGAACGCAAAUUGCACUCCCUUCGGAGAGUAUGCCUGUUUGAGGGUCAGCCUAAAAAUAAUCGACGAAGUGGUUUUUUCGCGGUGACUUACGUCGGAAUUUGGGUCAUCUUAAACCUUUGGGUUUUUUAAGCGGCUUAAAAUUUUCUUUACGAUUCCACGAAUGUUUCUACAAUUUUAUUUUUUAAACCCGUUU
rnacentral:misc_RNA from 1 species